UUUCAUAAUCUUGAAUUACGCCUAUUUUUCGGAAUCAGAAUAGGUGAUCCCUUAAUUUUGCUGUCGAAUGUAUUUUUACAUUGAAACUUGAUUAUACUCGUUAAAGUAUUGUUUACGCACAACAGAUUCUAGACUCAAAGUAAUGAAAUAUUUAUUAUUUAAGGCGUGAUUUAUAAAAAUUUGACGCACUGUAUAAUUGGCGAAAGAGGAAAAGUAGCUCCAUAAUAAAUUAAUAUUUGGAUUAGUUUAAAAAACAUGAUAUUGUGUUACAAAAUUAUAUAUUUUUAAUUUUCCAUCGUUUAGAACUUUCCUGCGUUCAGAAAUCAAUUGACGUUUCAAUUAACCAGAUCGGACCAUUUCGGACUGAAAAUGUGGUCAAUAUCAAUGUGAUUAAUCGCGACAAUAGUUUGGAUUGAUUAGGGUUAGGUUAUACUUUUUGGGUUUUGUCUUCCCUACGAGGAGGGCGCAGAUUCUCUAGGAAAUCUCUCACAUCGGCGAGAUGCAAUGACACAAAUGUUAUAGAUUACGGCCCUGAUAUAAAUACAAGGGUAUGCUCUUCCGAUGGACGAGUUUAGAACAUUCUUGCGCAGCAGCCUGCUUACGUCACAUUUGUACGGCCUCGGCUACGUUCAGAUCACUUCGGCGCGAUAAAAUAUGGCUACAGCAGGCAUGUAAUAACACAUGAGUUAUCAUUGACAUCAUAGAAGAUGAAGGUUUAAAAUACGUCGCUGGCUACGUAGCCUAUAAAUUUAAACAUAAAUAUCCUUAUUUAGGUACAGAAACAUGCUUCUUGCCAGUUAAUGUAGCUAGUCUAAAUCAUUUAGACUGGCUACAGUUUAUUUCACGUGGCAAUUGUAUAUAUCCUUCUAAAGAACUGUUAGAAACGCGUGUUAUGAAUAUAGAGUUCAGUAAAUUCCACGGUUCGUCACUUUGUAAAGAUAAAUUUAUUUUUAAUACAUUGGCUGGAAAAAUAAUAGGUUUAAUACAUCCUAUUGAAAUACCUAAAGAAGUAAUAUUGUGUUUGGUAAGAACGCGAACGUACAUUCGUGUACGUAAAAUAAAUCGUACGAUUCCUAUACAAAACAGAAAUAGACAUAAGAAAAAAAAAAUUGUCAAAAUUUGUCAAUAAUAAAAUUACAUAGAAAGAUAUUAAUAUAUAUGUAAACAAUGAUUUUCUUUUCCAUUCAUAAAUCCCCAAUUUUUCAAAUAAAGUACUAAAAUUUCAUUAAUUUUUAUUUCAGCUAAUUUUCACUUUAUUUCACUUAAUGUGUUUUGCAACAAAUACACAUACAUAAACAAUAAAAUUGUUAUAUUAAUGCUAUUUUAAUUAUAUUAAUGCUACUUAAAAAUAGUACAAUUUAUUAACAAUUAAUUCAUUUUUAAUUAAUAAUUUCCAUGUAUCCAAUAUUGUUCAUAAUUCCAAUGUAUCCAAAAUAUUUCAAUGUAUUCCAUGGAUUCCAAUAUUAAUUUUAACUUAGCUAAUUUAUAAACUGAUGUGACAUACUUCUUAUUCAUUGCUCUGGUGAGAGUCUCGUUUAUUCUGUAAUAACAUUGUCAUUAUUCAUUUAAUUAUUUAUUAUAUACUUUAUUUUACUGAUUAUCCCAAAUAACAGCGAUCAUUUUUCAGCUUUCUCUACGUGUAUUCGACAAAUUAAGCAUAAGCGCUUCGAAUUUGCCGCCUAAUGAUGACGUAGUCAGGCUGCAAUUCUCAUUGGUUGACUGGCGUUACCAUGCGCAAGAGCAUACUCUUGUAUUUAUAUCAUGAUUACGGCCAUGACAUGACACAAAUGUCAUUACAUGGUUUUGCGUCUCGCAUGAAUACGACUAACUAAUGUAUGUUAGUGUCUGUGUCAAAAACAUGUACUCGGCAAGAUUUGCUUGGCGACAAUGAUAAUGACGUAUGUUACAUAAAAUUUUCUAUAUUUGGAUUUGCAAUCGCAAUAUUUUCGCACGUAGGGCAUGGAAGGAAGAAAUAAAAACACUUUUAUUAUGCAAUUUUCCCCAAGUUAUCAUUUGAAAUUAUUCAGAAUUUGAUCGGUUUAGCCGUUACUGAGAUCUGAUACUCUCGUGUGCUUGGAAGUCGCUGACUCGCGUAAAGAGAGGCGGUUUGCUUGCUGCGUUUGACUUAGCGCCGAGACGCGACCGCGCUUCUUAAUUCUUUUACUCCGGUAUUCUUCUGGUAAAGUACCAUACUGUAUAAAAUCCUUUUUCAAAAAUCGGUGACUCGAAGUUUGCGUCCUCUCCUCGUGAGGGUAAUACGUAUAUAAAGAAGUAUAAUAAAUAAUUUAUAACUAAUACUUAGAAAAAAAGGGACAAAUGAGAUUCAACGCGGUUGCUGAUGCGUAUCAAUAAUUCUUCUGUGUUUAUGUAAAAAAAAAAAAAAACUAUUAAACGUGUUCAAACGUUUC